AUGCAAAGACUAGUCAAGCUACUCAUGCUGCCGAGCACACGACGGAGCCGAACCGCCCUCCCGCACCUCCGACACUCGCAGCAGGACACGUGGGCGCCCCAUGCAGUGAAACCGAUCCUUGCUUGGGAGAGGCCCAAUGCGUGAGCGGCGCCUGCCAGUGUAAAGGCCCGGGAUUCCGCGUCCUCAAAGGCAUCUGCGUCUAUGUCACCACGCCGGCGACGAAAAAGACGCGGUCGCCGAAGAGCACAACCUCUCCGUGGCGUUCCAGGGCAACGACCGGCCCGUUCUCCGCGUGGAUCACGUUCGUGCGUACCGUACGCCUGGGCACAACUGCCACGAACGCCAUCGCCGAGACCGCGCCCGGGACCCCCACUGGAGAAGAGCGGGCUGAGAUCGUGACUGAGAUUGAGACUGAGGUCGACGGGACUCUCCACGGCGAGGACGACUUGCCUGAAACAGCGUCCUCGAACGCCACUGUGGCCUCGAACGUCACCGCGGCCUCGAACGUCACCGCCCAAAGAGAGGAGGGCCUGGAGAAGCGCGGAGCGCCACCGGAAUAAACAUUCGCUCCGGAUAAUUCGAUUGGGCCACUUAACCUCGCGGCCACCUUUUACGUUUAAAAUAUGUAAACUGUUUCCAAAUUGGGCUUUUCAGAGCAUAUUUAUGUGUAAUUUAAGCGACCGUAUCGAAGACCUGUUUCUGUCGCAGGUCUUGGAUCAGUUUCUGUCGCAGGUCUUGUAAUAAAGACGAUUUUUGACGAA